rnacentral:misc_RNA from 1 species
CUCACACCUAUAUAUAUACAUAUAUAUAUGUAAAUGUACAGAUGUAUAUAUGUAUAUACAAUCACACACUAAACACUGUGCGCUGGAAACUUAUUGAGUUCUGAAGUAAAUCUUUAACGGGACGUAUUGAUAUUGAGGAGGGAAAAAAAAGUACGUUUAUUCGCUCCAGUGUUUUCUUAACAGAAAAGGAAAAAAAAAAAAUUAUAGCAAGAAAAAAAGAAAAAAGAAAAAGAAAAGAAUUUUUUUUUUUUUUUCCAGAAUUUUAGAUUUUCAGUUUUUCUGGGUUGAAGCAAGCAACAUUUGAAUUACUGCUCGUAUUUGCGGAAUUCUUUUCUUUUAAAUAAUUCACUGUGUGUGGUGUUUAUUAAUAGAUGUGAGUGACUACGUGCGAGUCUCUUGAUUAUUUUAAUCGCCAUUCCAUGCAAGUUAAGGAGGAUUCCUUCUUUGGUCAGCUCUGAGAGAGAAGAAGAAGAAAGCCAGAAAAAAAAGGGAAAAAACAGAAAGGUGAAAAACAGCCCAGAGACAUUACAUAAGAAGGAUACCAAGAAACGGGACCAGGAGGCAAGCAGCGAAUACGAAAUAACGAUUAGCACACCUUACUGUCUUUUGUUUCGGAGUGUGAACUGAGUUUUAUUGUUUAAUUUCUGUUCUUUUAUGUAUACACACAUAUAUAAAAGGCAGUUGAUGUGUUGGAGCGAUCAUCAUACAGGAAAACCAAAGAUGAAUCCGUCGCGAAAUAAUAUCCCUAGAUAUUGGUCAUAGUACUUGGUGAGUACUUGGUGGUUUGUUGGAGGAUUUUUAACGACCACUGUCCUCUGCAGCAUGAGGGUCAUAUCUCAGGGACUACCACAAAGGGACAUAUUGUCCAGGACUACUAGCAUCGUCCUGAAAAAUGUCAUCGGCACCACUCAAGGAAGGAAAGCUUUCUCGGAUGAAGCUUAUUACCAAGCUCCAGAAAUUCGCGAAAGGUCACGAUCUGUUGCACAUUUCUACAACCAGAGUGCCAUAGACAAGGCUGUAAAUAAGCCAUCUGUUCGUUUGACUCCAGCAGCUAUAUUAUAUGCAGGCAAGAAUCGAGAUGGAACUCACAUACUUAGAAGUGCCCAGUAUCUUCAUAAAGAACUGCCCGUUCGAAUUGCUCACAGAAUUGGCGGCUUCAGAGGACUGCCAUUUAUUGUUGGCUGCAAUCCAACAAUUUUGCAAGUGCAUGAAAUGUACAUUCGGGCAUUCAACAUAUUAACUGAAUUUCCAAGUAUUCAUAACUUUGAGGAUGAGCAAAAAUAUAGUCAAACGUUGAAAAGUCUUUUGGAUGAUCAUAAAGAUGUAGUCUCUUUAUUGGCUGAAGGUCUUGGAGAAUCUCGCAAACAUAUCAAAGAUGACAACUUGAUAAAAAUCUUUCUUGAUCGUACUUUAACUUCAAGACUGGGUAUUCGAAUGUUAGCAGAGCAUCACUUGGCAAUGCACGAAGAAAAGCCUAACCAUGUUGGGAUCAUCAAUGUGAAUUUCUCUCCUCGCAAACUUAUUGAAAAGAAAGCAGAGUUUGUAAGGAGUGUUUGCGAAGCUAAAUAUGGAGCAGCUCCCAAUGUCCGUUUGAAUGGCCAUCUGAAUGUAACAUUUCCAUAUAUAGCACCUCCGCUUGAUUACAUUUUAGGUGAAAUUCUGAAGAAUUCCAUGAGAGCAACUGUGGAAAGUCACUUAGAUAAUUUGAAUCAUCUCCCUGACAUUGUCGUGACCAUUUCUAAUAAUGAUGUAGAUUUUGUUAUCAGAGUCUCUGAUAGGGGAGGUGGCAUUCUUCAUUCCAUUGUCAAGAAAGUGUUUGAAUACAGUUUUACAACCAGUGGCAAUAUAACAGAUGACCGAGUUGAUGGUGGUUUAUUUGGUACUAUAACUCAGUCAGAUUACACUGGUCCUGCUCCAGGUUCAAUGCAUGGAUAUGGAUUUGGAUUGCCCUGCUCAAAAGCUUACUCAGAAUAUCUUGGUGGACAACUGACCCUGGAAACAUUACAAGGAAUUGGCACUGAUGUUUAUCUUCGAUUGAGGCAUGUAGAUGGAAAACGGGAAAGUUUCCGGAUCUAGAUGAUUUUUUUUUUCGUCUCAUUUCCUUUUUUGAAUUUCUGGCUGACCUUUUUCUUUUUUUUUCCCAUUCGUUAGAUAGUCAGUCAACUAUAAUUAAAAUAUAUAUGUGUGAUGGGCCAGUUUUAUGGUAUUGAUCAGUGGAUUAUAGCAGAAAAAGAUAUUGUGUGAUACACUAUGAAUAAAAUGCAAAAUAAUGCUUUUAAAUCGAAGAGAAAACAAUUUUGCAAAAUAGAGUGUAAAGUUGAUUGUGUCUCUUAAAAUUUAAAAUAAAAAUAAAAAAGAAUUUGAAAAA